CCUACGUUUUCACUUUUCAGCACAAUUUAACAUCUCUCCCCCUCCCAAAUCAAUUUCCCUCACUACAACCCUUUAUCGAUUUUGUCUCUCAUUUGCAUUUGCGCUUAAGAACUUCUGAGGUACAGUCGUCUCUACUUCGUCGUGGUAUGUAUCAUUGACUUCUUUGCCCAAUUGCACCACGUCACCAAUGACUGGUUGAUUCUGUGUUGGCUAAACCAUAUGAAACAGAAAAAGGAUACGGAAAACCUAGCCCUAGCCUGGGCUGCAAAAUUUGCCACAACAGGUACGAUUUUUUGUAAAAAUUUUUGUUUGUUAUGUGUUGGUGAAGGUGAUGGAUGACUCUCCAUUGCUAUUGAACGAAGGUCAAAAUGUGUUUAAGAUUCAUUAUCACCGCAUCUGUGAAAGCUAUUUGGUGUUAAGAACAAUUACAACGUUGUUGUUUGGCUGAUAUAUGUUUGGUAGCGGUGCAGCUUGUUGCCCGUUUACCUACUAUCUCGAGCUGGUGUGGCUGAUAAUCGCAAUAACAAAGUGGAUUAAUUAGCAUAUAUGAUUUUCGUUGUCAACAAUAACAGGUGUAUAGGCAAGUGAAAUAAUGAGUAUUUCAAGAGAUUAUACCUCAGAUGUAUUGUUGUUUAGACACGGUCAUCGAUUGCAAUUCUUGGCUUUCUGACCGAGAACCAAUAAGAUUGUCUACCCUAUCAAGCUAAUUUCAUUAUUACUUUUCUAUAAGCUAAUUAAUUGCUCUGAACUCUAAUAAUCUAGGUCAAAUAGGUACUCUCUGUCGACUAUCCAAGACCAGAGCUUGACAACACAUCUGCUUGACAACACAUCUGAUUUCUUUGAGGCUACUUACUUGUCUUAACUUUUGCAUUGUAUUUGCUGGUGCAGGUUGAGCCGCAAGAUGCUAAGGUGGGUUGUGAAUUAGUAUAUGUGAAUCUUUGGCCAAUAUUCAGUUGAAGUGCUGUCAUUGGAAUCUUUUGAAUAUGGCAAUAGUAAUAGAGGAAGAUGACAUGGAUUCUAUGGCUCAUAGAUUACUUUAUGCAACAGUAAAGGUGUUUGCAGUGAUUUAGCAAAUUCUAUAGAAAAAGAAAGAAAAAGAAAAAGAAAUCAAUGGAUAUCAGCGAGAAAGAUAUUGAUGUAGAGUAUAUGCCUGGUUUUAAUGUUGAUGUUGAGCAAGAUUAUCAAGAAACUACUACAAAAAUCUCUAAAAAGGUUGGAGAUAAAGUUUUCCUCAAAACCAUUCUAAACUCUACCAAGACUCUAGCAAGAGGAAGGGUCCAGAGCUUGGACCCAAAUGAUCUAGUUGGUGGUACAGAGAUUGGACCAGAAUGGUGUGAGGUAAACGUUCAAGUACCAAUAAAAAAGAUGAAAACUUGGUAAGACCAUACGAUUUAUUUUCUACAAUUCAAGAUUGUAUUGGUGCAUCCAUCGCAUGACCUUAUCCAUUCAUCUCGGUAGUCCAUGAGUAUUGAGGACGCAUGAUGACUCAAGAUUUUAUGCUUCUUAUUUCUUUAAUUGCUUUUAAUUUCUUUGCUAAAUGUUAAGACUUUAUGUUAGAUAAUGUUAUAACUUAUUUAUGGUUAGUGUUUUUGUUAUGAACAUGCUUAUUUGAAAUAUAAUGAAGUUUUAUUUCUUUCAUUAGUUGAUGUU